rnacentral:rRNA from 1 species
GCAUAACGCGAAGAACCUUACCAAGGCUUGACAUAUACCGGAAACGGCCAGAGAUGGUCGCCCCGCAAGGUCGGUAUACAGGUGGUGCAUGGUUGUCGUCAGCUCGUGUCGUGAGAUGUUGGGUUAAGUCCCGCAACGAGCGCAACCCUCGUCGUAUGUUGCCAGCACGUAAUGGUGGGAACUCAUAUGAGACUGCCGGGGGUCAACUCGGAGGAAGGUGGGGAUGACGUCAAAUCAUCAUGCCCCUUAUGUCUUGGGCUUCACGCAUGCUACAAUGGCUGGUACAAAGGGCUGCGAUACCGCGAGGUGGAGCGAAUCCCAAAAAGCCGGUCUCAGUUCGGAUUGGGGUCUGCAACUCGACCCCAUGAAGUCGGAGUCGCUAGUAAUCGCAGAUCAGCAACGCUGCGGUGAAUACGUUCCCGGGUCUUGUACACACCG